rnacentral:rRNA from 1 species
GACGAACGCUGGCGGCGUGCUUAACACAUGCAAGUCGAACGGGGCUCAUCGCUUCGGUGGUGGGUCUAGUGGCGAACGGGUGAGUAACACGUGGGCAACCUGCCCCCGGCUCUGGGAUAACUCCAAGAAAUUGGGGCUAAUACCGGAUGUGACCGCUGGCCGCAUGGUCUGGUGGUGGAAAGGGUUUCCGGCUGGGGAUGGGCCCGCGGCCUAUCAGCUUGUUGGUGGGGUAGUGGCCUACCAAGGCGACGACGGGUAGCCGGCCUGAGAGGGUGGCCGGCCACACUGGGACUGAGACACGGCCCAGACUCCUACGGGAGGCAGCAGUGGGGAAUAUUGCGCAAUGGGCGGAAGCCUGACGCAGCGACGCCGCGUGGGGGAUGACGCCCUUCGGGUUGUAAACCUCUUUCAGCAGGGACGAAGCCGCGAGGUGGCGGUACCUGCAGAAGAAGCACCGGCCAACUACGUGCCAGCCGCCGCCGUAA